CCCCAGCGCCACAAGUGGGAAUCGCUUUUAUUGGGUCUAAAGCAUCCGUAGCCGGCUCGCUAAAUGCUCUGUGAAAUCGCCGCGCUUAACGUGGCGACGCGCAGAGUAGACUGACGAGCUUGGGACCGGGAGAGGCGUUCGGUAUUCUAUGGGGAGCGGUAAAAUGUGAUAAUCCAUAGAGGACCACCAAUGGCGAAGGCAGAACGCUAGCACGGAUCCGACGGUGAGGGAUGAAAGCUAGGGGAGCGAUUCG
rnacentral:rRNA from 1 species